rnacentral:lncRNA from 1 species
UCUGUUACUGACAGCUCACAGUGCCUCUCCACCGUCACGCUGAGCAUCUCUCCUAUGAGGAAGCUCUCCCCACCGUGCUGCAACCAAAGAAGCAUUAUUGAUACUGCAGGAGAUGGAAAUGGAAGACUGUGGAUCCCAGAUCUACGAGUUGAGCCAUGGAGUCCAGGUGCCAUCUUUAGCCUCUCACAGUGCCUGGAAGGGCCUGUCACAACGACCCAUGGAAGAACAGAAGGCAGCAAACACAUCAGUACUGCAUUUUAUACUGAGUGAAUGGGAACACAUGACUGUCAGGAAUGGACAAGACCACACAUGCCGUGGCUGAUGGCUGGGACAGCCUGGGGCUAGGUGAGCUGCUUCCGUGUCCAGAACUCAUCACUGGCCUUUACCACCUGCUGCUGUACAUAUGUUGGCUGUCCUUCCAGAGAGAGGGGGGGCUGUUUAGGGCAGAAAAUGCUGCACUGUCAGCUGCUGACUCUCCAUACUCGUGGAGAGAGGGGGAUGCUGAUGAUGCGCGAUAGUGAGAAACUCGAUGAUUUAUUUUUCAUUUGAGGAUAUAUUUUCAGGUGAGGAAUCAGCCUCUUUCAUCAUAUUCUGCUCUGUUUUGAGUAAAAAGAAAGAGGACUGUGUAGAGAAAUGAAUUCUUACCAUUGCACUAUCUCCUUUGUGCAUCAUGUGUACUCUUAGUCAAAAAGAGCAUUAUAUUCACUCUAUAAACAUAAAGGAACAGGGCCCAAAUUGCUGCUCGAAUCUCACAAAGCCUCACAGCUACAAGCGUGCCUUCCACACUCCCCUGAGUUUUGUAAGGAGCCCUCUUUAUCUGUGGUUCUGUCACACGGAGGAAGAGGAUGCUCUCUGGUCCCUCGGUUUUGUAUGUCUAAAUCAGUUACUACUUUGGCUUCCGAGACUCUCUUUGUCUUCGAAUGCAUACAGCUGAUUUCCUUUGUAAGGUUCUAGAGGGCUAGGAAGAUAUCUCAGUGGAUAAAAUAUUCAAUAAGAAAGCAAAUAUGAAGAUGUUCGCUCAGAUCCCCAGUACUCAGGUAGAAAGCUGGGUGUGAUGGUGGGUGUCUGCUAUGACCCCUUUGUGGUCAGGGUAGGUUUGGGAGACACAGGCAGACUCUCUGGGCCUUGCUGGCCAGUCAGUCUAACCAAACCUAUCUCAAAAACAAAAACAAAAUUAAAACCAAACAAUGACCAAAGAAACCAAUGAACCAACCAAACAAAAACAACCAAGAAAAUAGAGGUCAAUAGAAGAUACCCAGAAUUCACCUCUGGCCUCCACACACAUGGACUUGCAGACAAGAGUACUGAUACACACCCAUACCUUCUCUCUCUCUCUCUCUCUCUCUCUCUCUCUCUCUCUCUCUCUCAUCACAAAUACUUUCCUCAGCAGCUGGUAAGCUGGUAAGCUGCUUCUCCUUCUCCUCCCACUCAGCUGAAUGCCAGUUGUCCCUGCAUCCCAACCC